UCGAGGAUCUUCGGCAAUGGGCGCAAGCCUGACCGAGCGACGCCGCGUGGACGAUGAAGGCCUUCGGGUUGUAAAGUCCUGUCGAGGGGGAUAAAGGCGCAAGCUUGAUAUAUCCCUGGAGGAAGCACGGGCUAAGUUCGUGCCAGCAGCCGCGGUAAGACGAACCGUGCAAACGUUGUUCGGAAUCACUGGGCUUAAAGGGCGCGUAGGCGGCUUGCCAAGUCAGUGGUGAAAUCCUGCAGCUUAACUGUAGAAGUGCCUUUGAUACUGGCAGGCUCGAGGGAGGUAGGGGUCUGUGGAACUUCUGGUGGAGCGGUGAAAUGCGUUGAUAUCAGAAGGAACGCCGGUGGCGAAAGCGACGGACUGGACCUCUUCUGACGCUGAGGCGCGAAAGCUAGGGGAGCAAACGGGAUUAGAUACCCCCGUAGUCC
rnacentral:rRNA from 1 species